rnacentral:rRNA from 1 species
UACGAGGGGGGCGAGCGUUGUUCGGAAUUAUUGGGCGUAAAGGGUGCGUAGGCGGUUCCGCAAGUCCUGUGUGAAAUCUUCGGGCUCAACUCGAAGUCUGCACGGGAAACUGCGGGGCUUGAGUGUGGGAGAGGUGAGUGGAAUUCCUGGUGUAGCGGUGAAAUGCGUAGAUAUCAGGAGGAACACCUGUGGCGAAAGCGGUCUGCUGGGGUCGAACUGACGCUGAGGCGCGACAGCGUGGGGAGCAAACAGG